UCCUGAAGGCUAUAGCCGGAGCCACGAAAAAGUUUGGAAACAAAUUGCUUGGUCUUUGAGGAGUCGCCACACUGUCUUCCACAUGGAAAGGACACAGAUGGUUGAACUGAUUUACACUCCCACCAACUGUGUAUAAGUGUGCCUUUUUCUUCACAACCAGCUUUGUUAACAGCAUGAAGACUAGAAGAAAAAGAAUGGAAGAAAGAAGUGAAAGAGAAACAAAUAGGGGAGGGGAUCCCUCAGAUGACUGGGAAGGAAAGGAAAACCAGAAAAAAGCAGUCAGGAUGAAUGCCUGACAAAAAACUCUGCCGCAGUGACACUUUGACAUGAAGCAGAUUCAAACUUUCUAUGACUGAACAGGACAUUUUCCAUUUAUUGCUCCUUUGAUACCCAAGUUCCUCAAUGGGGGUGUUCUUCAACGAGACACUUUUACCAGUCAUCAUAUUCUUGCUUUUUUUUUUUUUUAAAGUAUGUUGCUGCUGUACUUUUAAGAAAAUUGUGUUUUAUCUUAGUACUUUGAUGUUCAUAAAUGGUAUAAAACAUAAUUUUACCACAUAGCUUUAAUGGAAUACUUUUUACAAACAAAAUAAAACUUGACCUUCUUCCACCCUA